AAAUUGAAGAGUUUGAUCAUGGCUCAGAUUGAACGCUGGCGGCAGGCCUAACACAUGCAAGUCGAACGGUAACAGGAAGCAGCUUGCUGUUUCGCUGACGAGUGGCGGACGGGUGAGUAAUGUCUGGGAAACUGCCCGAUGGAGGGGGAUAACUACUGGAAACGGUAGCUAAUACCGCAUAAUGUCGCAAGACCAAAGAGGGGGACCUUCGGGCCUCUUGCCAUCGGAUGUGCCCAGAUGGGAUUAGCUAGUAGGUGGGGUAACGGCUCACCUAGGCGACGAUCCCUAGCUGGUCUGAGAGGAUGACCAGCCACACUGGAACUGAGACACGGUCCAGACUCCUACGGGAGGCAGCAGUGGGGAAUAUUGCACAAUGGGCGCAAGCCUGAUGCAGCCAUGCCGCGUGUAUGAAGAAGGCCUUCGGGUUGUAAAGUACUUUCAGCGGGGAGGAAGGGAGUAAAGUUAAUACCUUUGCUCAUUGACGUUACCCGCAGAAGAAGCACCGGCUAACUCCGUGCCAGCAGCCGCGGUAAUACGGAGGGUGCAAGCGUUAAUCGGAAUUACUGGGCGUAAAGCGCACGCAGGCGGUUUGUUAAGUCAGAUGUGAAAUCCCCGGGCUCAACCUGGGAACUGCAUCUGAUACUGGCAAGCUUGAGUCUCGUAGAGGGGGGUAGAAUUCCAGGUGUAGCGGUGAAAUGCGUAGAGAUCUGGAGGAAUACCGGUGGCGAAGGCGGCCCCCUGGACGAAGACUGACGCUCAGGUGCGAAAGCGUGGGGAGCAAACAGGAUUAGAUACCCUGGUAGUCCACGCCGUAAACGAUGUCGACUUGGAGGUUGUGCCCUUGAGGCGUGGCUUCCGGAGCUAACGCGUUAAGUCGACCGCCUGGGGAGUACGGCCGCAAGGUUAAAACUCAAAUGAAUUGACGGGGGCCCGCACAAGCGGUGGAGCAUGUGGUUUAAUUCGAUGCAACGCGAAGAACCUUACCUGGUCUUGACAUCCACGGAAGUUUUCAGAGAUGAGAAUGUGCCUUCGGGAACCGUGAGACAGGUGCUGCAUGGCUGUCGUCAGCUCGUGUUGUGAAAUGUUGGGUUAAGUCCCGCAACGAGCGCAACCCUUAUCCUUUGUUGCCAGCGGUCCGGCCGGGAACUCAAAGGAGACUGCCAGUGAUAAACUGGAGGAAGGUGGGGAUGACGUCAAGUCAUCAUGGCCCUUACGACCAGGGCUACACACGUGCUACAAUGGCGCAUACAAAGAGAAGCGACCUCGCGAGAGCAAGCGGACCUCAUAAAGUGCGUCGUAGUCCGGAUUGGAGUCUGCAACUCGACUCCAUGAAGUCGGAAUCGCUAGUAAUCGUGGAUCAGAAUGCCACGGUGAAUACGUUCCCGGGCCUUGUACACACCGCCCGUCACACCAUGGGAGUGGGUUGCAAAAGAAGUAGGUAGCUUAACCUUCGGGAGGGCGCUUACCACUUUGUGAUUCAUGACUGGGGUGAAGUCGUAACAAGGUAACCGUAGGGGAACCUGCGGUUGGAUCACCUCCUUACCUUAAAGAAGC
rnacentral:rRNA from 1 species